rnacentral:rRNA from 1 species
UACGAAGGGGCUAGCGUUGCUCGGAAUUACUGGGCGUAAAGCGCGUGUAGGCGGCAGCGCAAGUCGGGCGUGAAAUCCCACGGCUCAACCGUGGAAGUGCACUCGAAACUGCGCAGCUAGAGUCCUGGAAGAGGAAGGUGGAAUGGCUUGGUGUAGAGGUGAAAUUCGUAGAUAUCAAGCGGAACACCGGUGCGAAGGCGGCCUUACUGG